rnacentral:lncRNA from 1 species
GGAGAAAUGGCUACGCAGUUGGUUGAGAAAUGUAAUUUGGGGCUUGUGCUGAGGGUACCUGCAUCUCCCUCUUUGUUUGCCUCAGAGAGCUGUCUGAGUCUGUAAAGCCACAUUUCAACAUCUAAAUAUCAUGAAUCUGGAUGGACGCAGUGGCUCACGCCUGUAAUCCCAGCACUGUGGGAAGCCAAGGCAGGAGGAAUGCUUGAGCCCAGGAGUUUGAGACCAGCUUAGGCAACACUACGAAACCCCGUCUCUACAAAAACAUACAAACAUUAGCCAGGCGUAGUGGCAUGCACCAGUAGUCCCAGCUACCUGGGGGGCUGAGGUGGGAACAUGGCUUGAGCCUGAGAGGUGGAGAUUGCAGUGAGCCAAGAUUGUGCCACUGCACUCCAGCCUAGGCAACAGAGUGAGACUGUCUCAAAAAAAUAAAUAGGCCGGGCGCAGUGGCUCAUGCCUGUAAUCCCAGCACUUUGGGAGGCCAAGGCGGGGAGAUCACCUGAAGUCGGGAGUUCCAGACCAGCCUGACCAACAUGGAGAAACCUCAUCUCCACUAAAAAUACAAAAUUAGCCAGGUGUGGUGGCACAUGCCUGUAAUCCCAGCUACUCAGUAGGCUGAGGCAGGAGAAUCACGUAAACCCAGGAGGCAGAAGUUAUGGUGAGCUGACAUCGCACUAUUGCAC